rnacentral:rRNA from 1 species
GGGAUUAGAUACCCCACUAUGCUUAGCCUUAAACCUAGAUGCUAAAUUUACAAGCAACAUCCGCCAGGGUACUACAAGCGCUAGCUUAAAACCCAAAGGACUUGACGGUGUCUCAGACCCACCUAGAGGAGCCUGUUCUAGAACCGAUAAUCCCCGUUAAACCUCACCACCCCUUGUUUUCUCCGCCUAUAUACCGCCGUCGCAAGCUUACCCUGUGAAGGUCUAAUAGUAAGCAAAAUGGGUAUAUCCCAAAACGUCAGGUCGAGGUGUAGCUUACGAGGUGGGAAGAAAUGGGCUACAUUUUCUAUAUCAGAAUAAUACGAACAGCACCAUGAAAUUGAUGCUCGAAGGUGGAUUUAGUAGUAAAAAACAAAUAGAGAGUCUUUUUGAACCAGGCUCUGAGACGCGUACACACCGCCC